rnacentral:rRNA from 1 species
UGCCAGCAGCCGCGGUAAUACGGAGGGUGCAAGCGUUAUCCGGAUUUAUUGGGUUUAAAGGGUGCGUAGGCGGAAUAAUAAGUCAGUGGUGAAAUCCUGCGGCUCAACCGUAGAACUGCCAUUGAUACUGUUAUUCUUGAAUAUAGUUGAGGUAGGCGGAAUAUGUCAUGUAGCGGUGAAAUGCAUAGAUAUGACAUGGAACACCAAUUGCGAAGGCAGCUCACUAAACUAUUACUGACGCUCAUGAACGAAAGCAUGGGGAGCGAACAGGAUUAGAUA